CCCCCCCCGCCACAAUCAUGACUUUCGGGAUUUGGAGGGAGAAGGGAGGCUGGCCCAUUUCAGGAUGAGGACAGGAGCCAUGCACACAGACUCUACCAGAGCUCACGUAACUGAGGGUUUGUUGACAGGCGGAAGAUUUAUCCUCUCCGCUCUCCUUCCUGACUCAGAAGAGAUUGCGGACCUGGAAGCUGCAGUGCCUCUGGGUCACUUGGUAAUUUAAAAUUGAUGACUUGGAAAGAGAAUGGAGAUAAAGAUGCUGUCCUGGGAUGUGUCCUUUUAUAGAGAGCGUUUGAGGACUUUCACCUGUGCGUGUCUGGACCGGCAUGUUGGCUGGCUGGGUGUUGAGCAACGGACGUGGCCCCCACAGGGAGUCGGUGCCGGGGCCUGCCUAACAGGAGAAUUUGGCCUUCCGCGAUACCAGGGACACGCUGAAUGCCCACUGAAGGACUUCCCAUGAGUUACCAUUCCUGGGGCCACCAUCAAGCCCUGGGGGACAAGAGCCCGUGGAUAAAUACUCCAGCUUGUCAGGUGGACGAUUCUGGAAGGUCUUCUAUGGGCCGUUUGGUGGUCUUCAUGGAAUCGAGUCACUAACCUUGGGCAACCAUGCCGUGAGGAAGCGCAAGCUAUGCGAAUGGACAGGCCGUGUGGGGAGAUGGCUGGUGGCCCCGGUGGUCCGUCGCGCAGUCAACUCAUCCUAGAUGACGUCCCAAGCAUCAUGAAG